GAAAUGCGAUAAGUAAUGUGAAUUGCAGAAUUCAGUGAAUCAUCGAAUCUUUGAACGCACAUUGCGCCCGUUAGCAUUCUAGCGGGCAUGCCUGUCCGAGCGUCAUUUCAACCCUCAGGUCUCCCUUUAGGGGGAGACCUGGCGUUGGGGAUCGGCCCGCCCAGCGCGGCGCCGUCCCCCAAAUUCAGUGGCGGUCUCGCUGCAGCCUCCCCUGCGUAGUAGUUUACACCUCGCACCGGAGCGCGGCUAGGCCACGCCGUAAAACCCCCGACUUUCUGAACGUUGACCUCGGAUCAGGUAGGAAUACCCGCUGAACUUAAGC
rnacentral:misc_RNA from 1 species